GAUGAAGAACUCAGCGAAAUGCGAUACGUAAUGUGAAUUGCAGAUUUCAGUGAAUCAUCGAAUCUUUGAACGCACAUUGCGCCCGCUAGUAUUCUGGCGGGCAUGCCUGUUCGAGCGUCAUUUCAACCAUCAAGCCCUAGGCUUGCGUUGGAGCCCUGCGGCUGCCGCAGGCUCCCAAAUCCAGUGGCGGGCUCGUCGUCGUACCGAGUGCAGUAAACAUCCUCGCUCAGGGAACGUGACGGGUUCUUGCCGUGAAACCCCCCACAUAUCAAGGUUGACCUCGGAUCAGGUAGGAAUACCCGCUGAACUUAAGCAUAUCAAUAAGCGGAGGA
rnacentral:misc_RNA from 1 species